rnacentral:tRNA from 1 species
AAAUAGUUAGUUUAACAAAAACAUCUGAUUUCGACUCAGAAGUUUCAAGCGAAAACCCUGAACUAUUAU